GAUGACAGCCAUCCGAUCAUGAUUAUAGUGAUGACACGUGUAUUGAUCUGAAGGUCUCACCUCUGACCCUGAGUCACACAGGAUCACAGUCUCAAGCUCUCUCAAGGUCUCAACAUCGCGAUUCUCUCUGAAUCUCGCCGUCGUCUUCUCCCUUCGUAAUCGGUGGUGUACGGUGGAUUCUCGACGGUGGUCCUCGCUUUUCUUUCUUGUUCUGUUCUUCUUUUUAGUUAUGAGUAGUUUGAUAAAAAGGGUGGCGGCGAUGGUUGUAAUAUGAGGAAGAUGAAGUACUCGUAGGUGUAUCAAGAUCAAGAUCAAUUUCCGUUCAAUUCCUCUCAUUCUCUUCAAUUUCAUAUACAUGUUGUAUCAGGAUCAAGAUCUAGGUUUUGGAGUUGGCUGGAAAUGCUGCAAGGGACAACAAGAAAAGUAGAACUUUGCUAAGUCAUAUUAUUCAAUUGGCUGUUAGGAAUGAUGAAUAAUUGAGCAAAGCUUCUUGGUGAUGUUACCAUUGCUAAUGGUGGUGUUAUGCCUAAUAUUCAUAACUUGUUGCUUCCAAAGAAUACUGGUCCUUCCUCUAAAGCUGCUGCUGAGGAUGAAUAAACGAAUGAAUGAAUUGUUACUUGAAACUUGAUUUUGCAGAUGGGGAUAACAAAUUUAGUUUCAAUUUUUUGUAUAUGGGUUUAGUUUUAGAGGUUCAUGACUUUGAUCUUUAGCUAUGUUAGUGGUUCUGUUAGUUACAGUAUCCGCUCAUCUCUCGAAUGAUCAAACACUUGGUAUUUUCAGAAUCUCAUCACAUCCACCACUUUAAGCUCUGCAAAUCUCUUGGUAAAUUAAUUCUUAGUUGUAUGUGUUGGAAAUUGAUUUGUUGUAUUAUCUGGUCUACACACUGUAUGGCUGAAAAAGUGUAUAUGGUGCAUCCGAGAUGACGGCGGACUGUUUAGGCGUGCAGGAACAUAUUGGAUAAGUAGUGCUUACUCAAUUCUUGAAGCAGAGGCCCUAGUUCUUUUAGAGGCCAUGAAGGAUGCAAGCAAUAUGAACUUACAUGCUAACCAUGUUGGUGUCUCAGCCUUUAGUAUCCUUAUUUCAAAUAUUAAGAGAUUGUUGCUUUUAAAUUCCAACUUUGAGGUAAAGAGAGGUUUGUGCCCUGCCCAUUGUCAUGUCCGAUAUGUAACCACUAUAACGAGGAUGAUUGACAUUUCCUUUUUUACUGUAAUAACAGCAAAACAGCGUGGCAAGCUGCUGGACUCGAUGUGAUGAUUUCGGCGCGGUUUCAACACUACAAUGCGCCAAAAGAUGUUAUUAUGAAUAUUUGUCAUUAUGAGGGCAAACAUAUACAGCUGGGAAAUUCGCUAUGCUAGUGUGGGUCUUGUGGAAUAAUAGAAACAAUUGGGUUUGGAAUAAUGUGAAAGAUUCGGGGCAACAACUAUGCGGUAAAGCGAUGCAUUUGUGGAAUGAAUGAGACGCGGUUCAGCAAAUUCGCGACAGGAACAACAGCAGACCGCAAGUACAUUAGCAGAAUACACAGUGGAAACAACCAAAAUUUGGAUGGCUCAAGUGCAAUGUUGAUGAAAACAUGUUAAUGAGAAAUACUGGUGCUAUCAAGUUAUGGUUUAAGCUCAUCAUUGGUUCAAAUUAUGAAUGUCACAAGAGUUUCUGUUUAUCCAUUAUGUGUAUUAUGCUGUCAAAGUAUUCCCAAAGGGCAGCUACUCAUAUGCCUUGCAAUCCUUGGGAGAAGUUUGGUGUCUCAUUGCUGUUUUUACCUUGUUUAAUUGUUUUGGAUUGGAUGCAUGAAGUGAUUAUGUUAUAUAACAACCAUUUAGUAUAAAUUUUGUUGUUGAGCGUCAAAAUGUUUGAAAGAGAUAGUCUCAUUUAUUGAAUUGCAAAAUACUAACAAAGAA